GAGGAGUGGGACAAGCUAGCUCAGAACCCAUUUCUUGCCUUUUACCAGAGAUGGCCGUGGCUUGCCCAAAAUACUCCUCUUCUCAAUCUUUGGACUUAUCCAUCGACACAGCUGUCGAUU
rfam:Aspergillus clavatus NRRL 1 ctg_1099423829617, whole genome shotgun sequence.